CUGUGCAUGAGUCUGGAUGCUGUUUCUGCCACUUCCUAGCGAGGCAACCUUGAGCAAGCUCCUUCACCUCUCAGAGCUUUGUUUUCUUCCUCAGGGACACAGGGAAAGUCACAAUAAUUCUCAGCAUGAAUGUGAGCAUCAGAGUUUGUGCAUCUAAGAGCUUCGUCCUAAGCCUGACACAUUUUACUGACUCUAAUACACUAACCACUGGCUUUUUCUGGCAAAGAGACCUGGCCCGGCUCAGCAGUGCUCACACCAGCUCCUUCACGGUUUCCUGUGACAACUGCACAUCAAGACUGUCUCCCUCUAAUCCCAUUUCAGAAAAGACAACGAGGAGGGAGCGGCCAGAGGGGUGGAAAUGGGAGCACGUGACCUCGCAAGAAGCAGGGAGGGAGAGAGAACACUGAGUCCGCUCGCUUUUAGAGCAGGUGAGUGGGGUCAAAGGGCUGGAAGGUUCCGUUC
rnacentral:lncRNA from 1 species